ACUAAAGCACGCAGCCUGUUUAUAUUUAUAGGUUGUUUUAACUUCAAUUUCAAAUGAUUUUCAAACAAGUUUUUAUUUUCUAAAAACAGUUUGAAUUUAGGUGUGUUACGCCUCCUCAUUCAUUCACAUAAAAAUAGUCAUUUUUACUUUUGCGGAUAAUUACAUUUUUGGGACAUUUCUGACACGGACAAAAUUCCCCAAGCACUACCCAAUUGUUUGUGCAGUUCACGUCUGCAGACAUUUGCUCAUCUCCCGUCAGAACAGGAUCUGCACACGUGUUCACAUUUUCUAUUCCACAUUUCUAUUGUAGCGUACUGUAUGUAUGGAGCAUAAUAUAUUUGUGUAUAUUCUUUAUCACCGCGGACACGUGAGGUAACGUUACUCAUUUUAUAACCUUUAUGGUGUUAUAGUCAAUCGUGCUUACGUAGCCACAUUCUUCUAUUAGCUCUGUAAAACAAUGCUAAAUGCGUCAGAGAAGUAUUAUCUGUGUUGCAUUUUGAAGCUACCAUGGCCUUAUGACUCUCAAGUGGUGCAGCGGUCAAAGGCACAGCACAUCAGUACUAGAGGCGUCACUACAGACUCCCUGGUUCAAAUCCAGGCUGCGUUUCCAUCAAAAAACCAGAAACAUUAUUUGUCAAUAUCAUAACUGGAGCUGGACAUCUUUGGAGCUGAAGAAUGAGGACAGCUUUUGCAUAGUAUCAUGGCUGCAACAACACUGAAUGGCGCAGAGUGGGAGGUUACGUGGUUGACUGCCGGCACGCGCUACUUGUAUCAAUAAAUCACUAUCAGAAAA